rnacentral:rRNA from 1 species
CCUACGGGUGGGCAGCAGUGGGGGAUAUUGCACAAUGGGGGAAACCCUGAUGCAGCGACGCCGCGUGUGGGAAGACGGUCCUCUGGAUUGUAAACCACUGUCCCCAGGGACGGGGAUGACGGUACCUGGGGAGGAAGCUCCGGCUAACUACGUGCCAGCAGCCGCGGUAAUACGUAGGGAGCGAGCGUUGUCCGGAAUUACGGGGUGAAAAGGGAGCGUAGGCGGGGGUGCAAGUUGGGUGUCAAAACUACCGGCCAAACUGGGAGUCGCACUCAAAACUGGCGCUCUUGAGUGAAGUAGAGGCAGGCGGAAUUCCUAGUGUAGCGGUGAAAUGCGUAGAGAUUAGGAGGAAUACCAGUGGCGAAGGCGGCCUGCUGGGCUUUUACUGACGCUGAGGCUCGAAAGUGUGGGGAGCAAACAGGAUUAGAUACCCCAGUAGUC